UGGGGAAUCUUGCGCAAUGGGGGAAACCCUGACGCAGCAACGCCGCGUGGGUGAUGAAGGCCUUCGGGUCGUAAAGCCCUGUCAGGUGGAAAGAAUCGUGCUGAUGCUAAUAUCAUCAGCAUUUGACGGUACCACCGGAGGAAGCACCGGCUAACUCCGUGCCAGCAGCCGCGGUAAUACGGAGGGUGCAAGCGUUGUUCGGAAUUAUUGGGCGUAAAGCGCGUGUAGGCGGUCAUGUAAGUCAGGUGUGAAAGCCUUCUGCUUAACGGAAGAAGUGCAUUUGAAACUGCAUGACUAGAGUACGGGAGAGGAGAGUGGAAGUCCCGGUGUAGAGGUGAAAUUCGUAGAUAUCGGGAGGAACACCAGUGGCGAAGGCGGCUCUCUGGAUCGAUACUGACGCUGAGACGCGAAAGCGUGGGGAGCAAACA
rnacentral:rRNA from 1 species